UUUAUAUGACCUUGCUAAAAGGUGACUUAUGUAUUACAUUUGCCUUGAAUACAUAAUAACUGGAAUACUUGAGUAAUCGAAUAAUUAUAAUUUGUUAAAACAAGGGCAAUUAUGGAGAUAUAAAUUUCUAAGAUAUAUUUCAUAUUUUCUGCUUUUGUGGCCGAGUAUGGAAUAGAAAAAAUAUUUUUACUGGAAUAGAGAGACUUACAUACCUGAUUGUGUAAAAGAAUAUAAGAGCAUAACAAUUAAUAAUAGCAAAAACAAUAACAAAAAUAAUAAAAACGAAAUAAGGUUCAAAGUUGUCGGAAAGAAAUAGCUAUAUAGAAAAGAAAUUCCUGAACGCUAUCUGAUCAAAGACUAAAAGAGUAAAUGCGAGAAGCUAGCACAAAAAGCUGCUAAAUCAUUAACUUAAGCUGCUAUCAAAAGCUGCUAUCAUAUGUUUUAUUCACCAAAUAUACAUCAGACAGCGUUAGGAAGGCAAUAUAUAUAUAUAUUCUUGACAUAAAAUAUCAUACUUAAAGUCAUAGAUAUCAGUGAAUAAAGAAAACAAGCUGUCAGAAAACGAAUGUAUAAUAAAUUUGGCGUACUAAUGUAUGCCCGUACAUGUUA